GACGAACGCUGGCGGCGUGCUUAACACAUGCAAGUCGAACGGAAAGGCCCUGCUUGCCGGGUACUCGAGUGGCGAACGGGUGAGUAACACGUGGGUGAUCUGCCCUGCACUUCGGGAUAAGCCUGGGAAACUGGGUCUAAUACCGGAUAGGAGCCAUUUUUAGUGUGAUGGUUGGAAAGUUUUUUCGGUGUAGGAUGAGCUCGCGGCCUAUCAGCUUGUUGGUGGGGUAAUGGCCUACCAAGGCGGCGACGGGUAGCCGGCCUGAGAGGGUGGACGGCCACAUUGGGACUGAGAUACGGCCCAGACGCCUACGGGAGGCAGCAGUGGGGAAUAUUGCACAAGGGGCGCAAGCCUGAUGCAGCGACGCCGCGUGGGGGAUGACGGCCUUCGGGUUGCAAACUCCUUUCGCUAGGGACGAAGCUUUUUGUGACGGUACCUAGAUAAGAAGCACCGGCUAACUACGUG
rnacentral:rRNA from 1 species